GACAGAGGUGCCAAGCGUUAGGCGGAAUCACUGGGCUUAAAGCGUGUGUAGGCGGAUCGUUAAGUACCUUGUGAAAUCCCACGGCUCAACCGUGGAACUGCUUGGUAUACUGGUUGUCUUGGGCCAUCUAGGGGCUAGCGGAACAAACGGUGGAGCGGUGAAAUGCGUAGAUAUCGUUUGGAACGCCAAUGGUGAAAACAGCUAGCUGGGGAUGUGCCGACGCUGAGACACGAAAGCCAGGGGAGCGAACGGG
rnacentral:rRNA from 1 species